CAAUAGCGUAUAUUAAUGUUGUUGCAGUUAAAAAGCUCGUAGUCGGAUUUUUGUGUCAUGUCGAACUGUCUGCCGAUUGGUUUGUACGGUUUGACGGGCAUAUUCCUUCCAGAGGCUCCGUGAGGCCUUCAUUGGUUUCGCGGUUGAAUCUGGGUCUUUUACUUUGAAAAAUUAGAGUGUUCAAAGCAGGCCAACGCAUUGAAUACAUUAGCAUGGAAUAAUGGAAUAGGACUUUGGUCUUAUUUUGUUGGUUUCUAAGGCCGAGGUAAUGAUUAAUAGGGAUAGUUGGGGGCGUUUAUAUUCCGUUGUCAGAGGUGAAAUUCUUGGAUUUACGGAAGAUAAACUACUGCGAAAGCAUUCGCCAAGGAUGUUUUCAUUAAUCAAGAACGAAAGUUAGGGGAUCGAAGACGAUCAGAUACCAU
rnacentral:rRNA from 1 species